rnacentral:rRNA from 1 species
GCUUGCACCUGAUUCNUAGCGGCGGACGGGUGAGUAAUGCUUAGGAAUCUGCCUAUUAGUGGGGGACAACGUUCCGAAAGGGACGCUAAUACCGCAUACGUCCUACGGGAGAAAGCAGGGGAUCUUCGGACCUUGCGCUAAUAGAUGAGCCUAAGUCGGAUUAGCUAGUUGGUGGGGUAAAGGCCUACCAAGGCGACGAUCUGUAGCGGGUCUGAGAGGAUGAUCCGCCACACUGGGACUGAGACACGGCCCAGACUCCUACGGGAGGCAGCAGUGGGGAAUAUUGGACAAUGGGGGGAACCCUGAUCCAGCCAUGCCGCGUGUGUGAAGAAGGCCUUUUGGUUGUAAAGCACUUUAAGCGAGGAGGAGGCUUACCUGGUUAAUACCNGGGAUAAGUGGACGUUACUCGCAGAAUAAGCACCGGCUAACUCUGUGCCAGCAGCCGCGGUAAUACAGAGGGUGCAAGCGUUAAUCGGAUUUACUGGGCGUAAAGCGCGCGUAGGUGGCUAAUUAAGUCAAAUGUGAAAUCCCCGAGCUUAACUUGGGAAUUGCAUUCGAUACUGGUUAGCUAGAGUAUGGGAGAGGAUGGUAGAAUUCCAGGUGUAGCGGUGAAAUGCGUAGAGAUCUGGAGGAAUACCGAUGGCGAAGGCAGCCAUCUGGCCUAAUACUGACACUGA